GACGAACGCUGGCGGCGUGCUUAACACAUGCAAGUCGAACGGAAAGGCCCUGCUUUUGUGGGGUGCUCGAGUGGCGAACGGGUGAGUAACACGUGAGUAACCUGCCCUUGACUUUGGGAUAACUUCAGGAAACUGGGGCUAAUACCGGAUAGGAGCUCCUGCUGCAUGGUGGGGGUUGGAAAGUUUCGGCGGUUGGGGAUGGACUCGCGGCUUAUCAGCUUGUUGGUGGGGUAGUGGCUUACCAAGGCUUUGACGGGUAGCCGGCCUGAGAGGGUGACCGGACACAUUGGGACUGAGAUAAGGCACAGACUCCUACGGGAGGCAGCAGUGGGGAAUAUUGCACAAUGGGCGGAAGCCUGAUGCAGCAACGCCGCGUGCGGGAUGACGGCCUUCGGGUUGUAAUCCGCUUUCGCCUGUGACGAAGCGUGAGUGACGGUAAUGGGUAAAGAAGCACCGGCUAACUACGUG
rnacentral:rRNA from 1 species